GUGGGGAAUAUUGGACAAUGGGCGAAAGCCUGAUCCAGCAAUGCCGCGUGAGUGAUGAAGGCCUUAGGGUUGUAAAGCUCUUUUACCCGGGAUGAUAAUGACAGUACCGGGAGAAUAAGCUCCGGCUAACUCCGUGCCAGCAGCCGCGGUAAUACGGAGGGAGCUAGCGUUGUUCGGAAUUACUGGGCGUAAAGCGCACGUAGGCGGCUUUGUAAGUUAGAGGUGAAAGCCUGGAGCUUAACUCCAGAACUGCCUUUAAGACUGCAUCGCUUGAAUCCAGGAGAGGUGAGUGGAAUUCCGAGUGUAGAGGUGAAAUUCGUAGAUAUUCGGAAGAACACCAGUGGCGAAGGCGGCUCACUGGACUGGUAUUGACGCUGAGGUGCGAAAGCGUGGGGAGCAAACAGGAUUAGAAACCCCUGUAGUCC
rnacentral:rRNA from 1 species